AGGUGUUGAGGUGUUUGUGAAGGUGUUGAGGUGUUUGUGAAGGUGUUCAGGUGUUUGUGUAGGUGUUCAGGUGUUUGUGAGGGUGUUCAGGUGUUUGUGAGGGUGUUCAGGUGUUUGUGAGGGUGUUGAGGUGUUUGUGAGGGUGUUGAGGUGUUUGUGAAGGUGUUGAGGUGUUUGUGUAGGUGUUGAGGUGUUUGUGUAGGUGUUGAGGUGUUUGUGAAGGUGUUCAGGUGUUUGUGAAGGUGUUGAGGUGUUUGUGAGGGUGUUGAGGUGUUUGUGAAGGUGUUGAGGUGUUUGUGUAGGUGUUGAGGUGUUUGUGAAGGUGUUGAGGUGUUUGUGAAGGUGUUGAGGUGUUUGUGUAGGUGUUGAGGUGUUUGUGAAGGUGUUGAGGUGUUUGUGAAGGUGUUGAGGUGUUUGUGAGGGUGUUGAGGUGUUUGUGAGGGUGUUGAGGUGUUUGUGAAGGUGUUUGUAAAGGUGUUGAGGUGUUUUUUGAGUAGUUCAGAUGUUUGUGUAGGUGUUGAGGUGUUUUUUGAGUAGUUCAGAUGUUUGUGUAGGUGUUGAGGUGUUUUUUGAGUAGUUCAGGUGUUUGUGUAGGUGUUGAGGU